rnacentral:rRNA from 1 species
AUGGCUUCAGCAGGUUCGGCUGGCCUCGCUCUCAAGGUGGCCGCCGUCGUUGCCGUUCUUGCCAUGCUGGUCCUACCUUCAUUUGGCCGCUGUCCGUCGCUGAAGCCGGCCCAACCACCACUACCACCGCCGGCACAGGCGCCACGGCCGCCCGCACUGACGCCACCACCGCCUGCACCAACACCGGCGCCACCUCCACCGGAACCGAUAACACCGGCGCCAGCGCCGGCGCCGGCUCCGCGGGUAUCAUGCGGGGACUGUUACUCGGUCGGGAGCCAGGCGUGCUAUUCGUUGUGCAUAGCCCCCCUCUCCCAGACAUGCGGCUGCCUUUUGGUUCAAGGUCGCUGCGACAAGUGCAAGACCGCCGAGACCGACAUGUGCACGGCCAACUGCACCGACGGCGGUUGUGACUGCGGCGCCGUCGCCGACAAGGCAUGCGGCGACACUUGUUCCUACAAUGAUUGCAGCUGGUGCGUGCGCGGGCAUCAGCAGGGUUGCCUGACCAGCUGCAGGAGUGAGUGCAUGAGCAAGUGCAAUGGGCCGUAG